UCUCCCGUGUCCUGAAACAUUUUAUUUCCUUUUAGCAUGUCGUCCUCGCUUGGCAUUAACUUUCGACAGCAGCCAGCAGAGUGUGCUGUGAACGCUGUGAAAAGAAUAUCCUGCUUCUGGGAAAUUUUUAUAUAUUUACAUACAUGUACAGAAAUGCAGAUGAAGACAUUUUAAGUGGCUCUAAUACUUGCACGAGUGGUAUGUAGUUCCUCCCAUCAAUUAAAAUACUUCUCUUGUCGCAGAUCACACAACCUCUUCCUUAAAAAUUAAUAGCCAAGUCAUACUAAACCGUCUGCUUUCAGCAAGAUUGCUUUCCAGUGUUUGUAUAAAGUUGGAAAAGUGCCACAAUGGAGAUGUCCAAAUACCUUUCACAGUCAGAGAGAAGGAUCUAGAACACAAGAAUCAGUCUGACUGGACAAUCAAAGCAGAAUAUUCUCCCCAGCUCUGCUUCUGAUCAGAAUGAAUCAAAUACAGCGCUCCUAAUUUUCAUGGUCGUGAGAAGGGAGAGAAGCCAAGCAAAGGUGCAGCAUGUUACGCUGAAACACGUUCUAAUUUCAACCCCACGAGACAAAAACUGGAAGGAAGGAGUUUGGAUCAUUUUCCUGGGGGCAGCAGAAAUAGGUGAUACAAAAGCACUGGAGGAGAAUGGGGCAUCUGGAGACCUUGCCAGGAAGGCUCACCACAUGCUGCCUUGCAGCAGAGCCUUCUGCUCCCCAGGAUUUCUCCCCUCACAACCAAAAUGCACCAGAAAUGAUGAUGACGACCUAAAUAU